CGUGUAGGCGGCUUGGUAAGUCUGCUCUGAAAGCCCGGGGCUCAACCCCGGGAGGCGGGUGGAUACUGCUGAGCUCGAGUCCGGAAGAGGCGAGUGGAAUUCCUGGUGUAGCGGUGAAAUGCGUAGAUAUUAGGAGGAACAUCAGUGGCGAAGGCGGCUUACUGGACUGAAACUGACACUGAGGCACGAAAGCGUGGGGAGCAAACA
rnacentral:rRNA from 1 species